AACGAACGCUGGCGGCAUGCCUAACACAUGCAAGUCGAACGAGACCUUCGGGUCUAGUGGCGCACGGGUGCGUAACGCGUGGGAACCUGCCCUUAGGUUCGGAAUAACUCCCCGAAAGGGGUGCUAAUACCGGAUAAUGUCUUCGGACCAAAGAUUUAUCGCCUUUGGAUGGGCCCGCGUUGGAUUAGCUAGUUGGUAGGGUAAAAGCCUGCCAAGGCGACGAUCCAUAGCUGGUCUGAGAGGAUGAUCAGCCACACUGGGACUGAGACACGGCCCAGACUCCUACGGGAGGCAGCAGUGGGGAAUAUUGGACGAUGGGCGAAAGCCUGAUCCAGCAAUGCCGCGUGAGUGAUGAAGGCCUUAGGGUUGUAAAGCUCUUUUACCCGGGAUGAUAAUGACAGUACCGGGAGAAUAAGCUCCGGCUAACUCCGUG
rnacentral:rRNA from 1 species